ACAGAGAAACAACUACAACUCCCAUCAUCCCUCACUGCUUCACCACCUCAACUAUCUGACUCGCCCCCUAGUGGUGGGAAACUGUUUCCUUCUAUCACUCCUCCAUCCCUCUAUCACUCCUCUAUCCCUCUAUCACUCCUCUAUCCCUCUAUCACUCCUCCAUCCCUCUAUCACUCCUCUAUCCCUCUAUCACUCCUCCAUCCCUCUAUCACUCCUCUAUCCCUCUAUCACUCCUCUAUCCCUCUAUCACUCCUCCAUCCCUCUAUCACUCCUCUAUCCCUCUAUCACUCCUCCAUCCCUCUAUCACUCCUCUAUCCCUCUAUCACUCCUCCAUCCCUCUAUCACUCCUCUAUCCCUCUAUCACUCCUCUAUCCCUCUAUCACUCCUCCAUCCCUCUAUCACUCCUAUCCCUCUAUACUCCUCUAUCCCUCUAUCACUCCUCCAUCCCUCUAUCACUCCUCCAUCCCUCUAUCACUCCUCCAUCCCUCUAUCACUCCUCCAUCCCUCUAUCACUCCUCUAUCCCUCUAUCACUCCUCCAUCCCUCUAUCACUCCUCUAUCCCUCUAUCACUCCUCCAUCCCUCUAUCACUCCUCCAUCCCUCUAUCACUCCUCCAUCCCUCUAUCACUCCUCUAUCCCUCUAUCACUCCUCUAUCCCUCUAUCACUCCUCUAUCCCUCUAUCACUCCUCCAUCCCUCUAUCACUCCUCCAUCCCUCUAUCACUCCUCUAUCCCUCUAUCACUCCUCUAUCCCUCUAUCACUCCUCCAUCCCUCUAUCACUCCUCCAUCCCUCUAUCACUCCUCCAUCCCUCUAUCACUCCUCCAUCCCUCUAUCACUCCUCUAUCCCUCUAUCACUCCUCCAUCCCUCUAUCACUCCUCCAUCCCUCUAUCACUCCUCCAUCCCUCUCACUCCUCCAUCCCUCUAUCACUCCUCUAUCCCUCUAUCACUCCUCCAUCCCUCUAUCACCUCCUAUCCCUCUAUCACUCCUCUAUCCCUCUAUCACUCCUCCAUCCCUCUUUCACUCCUCUAUCCCUCUAUCACUCCUCCAUCCCUCUAUCACUCCUCUAUCCCUCUAUCACUCCUCCAUCCCUCUAUCACUCCUCCAUCCCUCUAUCACUCCUCUAUCCCUCUAUCACUCCUCCAUCCCUCUAUCACUCCUCCAUCCCUCUAUCACUCCUCUAUCCCUCUAUCACUCCUCUAUCCCUCUAUCACUCCUCCAUCCCUCUAUCACUCCUCUAUCCCUCUAUCACUCCUCCAUCCCUCUAUCACUCCUCUAUCCCUCUAUCACUCCUCUAUCCUUCCAUCCUCUGUAUUUACCUCUUCUUUAUUUCACCUUCCCUCCUUCCAUGAACUCAUUUCCCUUCUUCUCUUCCUUUAAUCCAUCCUUCUGUGAUUAUCUCAUCCUCUCUUCAUUCACUCCUCCGUCUUUACUCCUUCCUGGUCUAAUCCCUCCAUGUCUCCUUUUCUUCUCACCACCUCCUCUCCCUCCCUCCAUCCGACGACGGAGGAGGAGUGAAGUCUUUUUUUCUUUUGGCUCGAGCGACCCUCCUCCUCCCUUCGGCCAUGUUGGAUGA
ensembl:lncRNA